rnacentral:sRNA from 1 species
UUUUUUUUUAAAUUGGGGCUACAUUGUACCGAGAGAAGGGCUCGAUUUCGAUACCUUUACUCUUGAAUUUGCCAAAAAAACGGCUGUAGCUAGAUUGAAUAAGAAGCUAUCUGGCCGGUGGUCGCGAGAGGGAUUUAGAUCUCUCCGGUCGAUUCAUCUGCUUACCGAGUUUCUUACAUUUUCUUUUUGAUUUUCUUAACAUCUUUUGAUUCGUUUUAUUGAAUGAUUGGAUAUAGUGAAUAGGGAAUAGCAGAU